rnacentral:rRNA from 1 species
CGCUGGCGGCACGCCUAACACAUGCAAGUCGAACGAAGUAGCAAUACUUAGUGGCAGACGGGUGAGUAACAUGUAGGUAUCUGCCCUUUGGCCUGGAAUAACACGAGGAAACUUGUGCUAAUACCGGAUAAGUCUUUACGGAGAAAGCUUUAUGCACCAUUGGAUGAGCCUGCACUUGAUUAGUUUGUUGGUGGGGUAAUGGCCUACCAAGACUGUGAUCAAUAGCUGAUUUGAGAGGAUGAUCAGCCACAUUGGGACUGAGACACGGCC